rnacentral:rRNA from 1 species
CCCUUAGAUGUUCUGGGCCGCACGCGCGCUACACUGAUUCAUGCAACAAGUUUUGUCCUUGGCUGAUAGGCCUGGGUAAUCUUUGAACGUGAAUCGUGAUGGGGAUAGAUGAUUGCAAUUAUUCAUCUUCAACGAGGAAUUCCUAGUAAACGCAAGUCAUCAGCUUGCAUUGAUUACGUCCCUGCCCUUUGUACACACCGCCCGUCGCACCUACCGAUUGAAUGGUCCGGUGAAAUCUUCGGAUCUGAGAGAUGUCUGAUUAAUUUCGGACGCCUUUUGGAAAAGUUGCUUAAACCAUAUCAUUUAGAGGAAGGUGAAGUCGUAACA